UACGUAGGGUGCAAGCGUUGUCCGGAAUUAUUGGGCGUAAAGAGCUCGUAGGUGGUUUGUCGCGUUGUUCGUGAAAACUCACAGCUCAACUGUGGGCGUGCGGGCGAUACGGGCAGACUAGAGUACUGCAGGGGAGACUGGAAUUCCUGAUGUAGCGGUGGAAUGCGCAGAUAUCAGGAGGAACACCGGUGGCGAAGGCGGGUCUCUGGGCAGUAACUGACGCUGGAGGAGCGAAA
rnacentral:rRNA from 1 species